CGCAGCCGCGGUAAUUCCAGCUCCAAUAGCGUAUAUUAAAGUUGCUGCAGUUAAAAAGCUCGUAGUUGAAUUUCGGGACUAAUAUGUCGGUCGUGCCUCGGUACGUACUGGUAUUUUUGGUUUCUCCCUUCUGACGAACCUUGAUGUCAUUAAUUUGGUGUCUUGGAAAUCAGGACUGUUACUUAGAAAAAAUUAGAGUGUUUAAAGCAGGCUCACGCUUGAAUACAUUAGCAUGGAAUAAUGAAAUAGGACGUUUGAUUCUAUUUUGUUGGUUUCUAGGAUUGACGUAAUGAUUAAGUAGGGAUAGGUU
rnacentral:rRNA from 1 species